CCUACGGGUGGCAGCAGUGGGGAAUAUUGGACAAUGGGCGCAAGCCUGACCCAGCAACGCCGCGUGAGGGAAGAAGUCUUUCGGUAUGUAAACUUCUUUUCUGAGGGACGAAAGAAGUGACGGUACCUCAGGAAUAAGCCACGGCUAACUACGUGCCAGCAGCCGCGGUAAUACGUAGGUGGCAAGCGUUAUCCGGAUUUACUGGGUGUAAAGGGAGGGUAGGCGGGAAAGCAAGUCAGAUGUGAACAGUCAGGGCUCAACCCUGAGACUGCUGUGGAAACUGUUUGGCUUGAGUGCUGGAGAGGCAAUCGGAAUUCCGAGUGUAGCGGUGAAAUGCGUAGAUAUACGGAGGAACACCAGUGGCGAAGGCGGAUUGCUGGACAGUAACUGACGCUGAGGCGCGAAAGCGUGGGGAGCAAACAGGAUUAGAUACCCCUGUAGUC
rnacentral:rRNA from 1 species